rnacentral:rRNA from 1 species
UACGAAGGGGGCUAGCGUUGUUCGGAAUUACUGGGCGUAAAGCGCACGCAGGCGGCUCGAUAAAUUAGAAGUGAAAGCCCCGGGCUUAACCUGGGAAUUGCUUUUAAGACUGUCGGGCUAGAAUCCAGAAGAGGGUAGUGGAAUUCCGAGUGUAGAGGUGAAAUUCGUAGAUAUUCGGAAGAACACCGGUGGCGAAGGCGACUACCUGGUCUGGCAUUGACGCUCAUGUGCGAAAGCGUGGGGAGCAAACAGG